rnacentral:rRNA from 1 species
GCCCCACUAGUCUGGGAUACCACUUGGAAACAAGGUGCUAAUACCGGAUAAGAAAGACGGAUCGCAUGAUCAGCUUUUAAAAGGCGGCGUAAGCUGUCGCUAUGGGAUGGCCCCGCGGUGCAUUAGCUAGUUGGUAAGGUAAAGGCUUACCAAGGCGAUGAUGCAUAGCCGAGUUGAGAGACUGAUCGGCCACAUUGGGACUGAGACACGGCCCAAACUCCUACGGGAGGCAGCAGGC